ACGGAGGGUGCAAGCGUUAUCCGGAAUCACUGGGUUUAAAGGGUGCGUAGGUGGCUCAAUCAGUCAGAGGUGAAAUCUUGCGGCUUAACCGUAAAAUUGCCUUUGAUACUGUUGGGCUUGAAUUAGGUUGAGGUUGGCGGAAUGUGGCAUGUAGCGGUGAAAUGCAUAGAUAUGCCAUAGAACACCAAUUGCGAAGGCAGCUGACUAGACCUUAAUUGACACUGAGGCACGAAAGCGUGGGGAGCGAACAGG
rnacentral:rRNA from 1 species